GUGGGCACUUGUGCAGAUUGUCCUGAUGAGGAGGAUCAUUAAUCCCAGUUGCUUGCUGAGGGACAGAGGACCCUGCCUGGCAGCAGGAAGCAGAUUUAGGUCUGCAGCGCCUGGGUAAAUGAUAAAUGAACUCACUAGCUGACAGGUUGAAUGAACUAACCCUGUUUGCAGUUCUGCUAGUUAAAAGUCAGCCAGGAGGGAAAACCUGAAUGCUUAUGAGGGAGUGGGCGUAUUAGUGAAGGCUGGACUAACGAGGAUUGGAAACUCUGUGAAACAAAAGAAAAGGCUUCUUGCAGUCAGAUUGCAGUUCCGGUCUCCUGAUCAUCCGCUCAAGAAAAAAUUGUUGUCACGGCUGGCUGAAGGACUGGACCAAGGUGCAGCAUGGCACACUGUCUUUAUACGAUCAGCCAUGGAUACCACCAGACACCCAAAGUCCAUUUCUCAGUUCCUAUGACCUCUUGUAAGCGCCGUUGAUGUCCUGAUGUCUUGAUAGCAUUUGAUCAACAUGUCCUUGAGAAGUGUAACCCUGCUUGGAAAGAAGGUGCAACACCCAUGUGUCCUGAUUCAACAGACCUUUGAUUGAUGAUCAAUGAAUUAAUGUCCCACUUCAAUAUGAAGGGACAGAGGAGUGAACAUGCCUUUGCUACCACUCGUGUGUUCUCCAUUGUAAUUGUUUUUGCAAGCCCUCUUGAAAGUCCAAAAUAUGCCCCUGACCGCCAGGGUGGAGGAGGAGUUACUCUUUUUUGAAGACAUCUCUAAGCUAUAACUGACACAAGCUUCUUCAACUAGUACCAUGGAAAUAUUUUUAGCCACAACGUCCACAAAGUUUCUUCAGGAAUGUCCUUUUCUAGUUUUCUUUUAAAAUCUCAAAUUGGUGAAGUUGUAAUUUACUGAUUCUCUUCACUGCAGAUCUGACCCAUCGCACCACUUUUAUUAAUCAACAACCUGCCUUUAUAUACUCUGUGUCCCAGUCUUUCUAUCCAUGUCAUGUCUGUGGGUGAAUUAUGAAACAAUUACUGUACGCAGAUGUGCCAAAAAUUGUGAUGUAGAAUUGUUUUUGCUAUUUCUUGAUCUUUACUGAACAAUAAUCUAAAAGCAACAUGUAAAGUGUUGAUCCCAUGUUUCAUGAGCUGAAAAAGAAGAUCCCAGAAAUGUUCAUUACGCACAAAAAG